UACGAAGGGGGCUAGCGUUGCUCGGAAUCACUGGGCGUAAAGCGCACGUAGGCGGUCUUUUAAGUCAGGGGUGAAAUCCUGGAGCUCAACUCCAGAACUGCCUUUGAUACUGGAAGACUUGAGUCCGGGAGAGGUGAGUGGAACUGCGAGUGUAGAGGUGAAAUUCGUAGAUAUUCGCAAGAACACCAGUGGCGAAGGCGGCUCACUGGCCCGGUACUGACGCUGAGGUGCGAAAGCGUGGGGAGCAAACAGG
rnacentral:rRNA from 1 species